rnacentral:lncRNA from 1 species
GCAGGCGGGAGGAGCUGGGGCACGGACAGGGGGACACUGGUCUGCCUUCAGUGCCUAGAAAUCAAAGCAGCCAACCUUGGGCUUUUUCUUCCCUUCACACUGAGGCACUUUUAUUGGCGAGAUGAAGGGAGGCAGAGAGGGCCUACAGCCCUCGCUUCGCUUUUGGAGGUUAAUGACCCAGUUAGCAGCUCUUGGCUGAGUUUCCGACAUUUUGCAGACAUCAAGCCCCGCGCCUCUGCCAAGUACAUUCUGUUCCCUGGAGCUCAUCCAAUGCAUCUCAGAUUACUAUGUAAUGCGACAAAGAGGGAGAGGUGGCUGGGAGGGGCCCGGAGAGCUGGGCGGGGUGAGCGGGCGGUAGCCGAGAGGGCGGGACACCGAAGCGGCUGGCGGAGAAGGGGAUGCCACUCUAAAUAGAGCUACUUUUCGAGAGUCGCAUCCCUUGAGGGGCUUCUUAGCUGGAGAAUGAGCCCAAGGGGAAGGUGGACAGGCCCUGUCCUCCAGGAAUUCUGUCCCGCAGACCCCCGCAAGCUCCAGGAUGCAGAGAGACACAGAAUGCCAGCAGUGGAAGUAACAGCACCAAGAAGUUGUGGGAUCCAACCUCUUCCUGCAAGAAGAGGAAACAGAAAAGGGAGAGAAGAAAUGAUGUGUCCAAGGCCACCCAGCUCACUAGUGGUUGAGAAGAGGACCUGAGACUGAAUUUCAGGGUUAGUGUUUUUCCCCCAUACUGCACCACUUCAAAGGGGAACUCAUUUUGCAGGGAAGGGAGGAGCCUUGAUAGAAACAGGCCCAGAUUUAAAUCCAGUUCUAAUGUGUCCUCACUUUUAGCUGUUAGAGGGAACCUAGGUCUUCUGUAAUAGCAACAGCCAUCAGUGGAGAGCAGCUGCUCUCUGCCAGGCCCUGGAAGCAGGAGAAACUAGUCCCAGACAGUUAAACAGCAAACAGUUGAGCCAGAGUGUGCCCAAGUUCAUCUCUCUCUGAACUCCAUGUUCAUCUGUGUAGCAGGCUGCUUCUGUAUGCUUCUGUUUCUCAUCUAUGAAACAUAAAAAGGACUGUGUCCUGUUUUAGUAUAAAACAUGCAGGCAUGAUUGUGCUUGCCUGCAAUCCCAGCAUUUGGGAGGUGGAGGCAGGAGGGUGAGGAACUUGAAGUCAUCUUCUACUUCAUAGCAAGUUUGAGGCAAGUCUGGACUCCGAGAACAGAAAUGAACAAAAUAAAAUGUACUUAGCACAACA